CGAACGGGUGAGUAACGCGUGAGUAACCUGCCCUGGAGUGGGGGACAACAGUUGGAAACGACUGCUAAUACCGCAUAAGCCCACGGUGCUGCAUGGCACUGCGGGAAAAGGAUUUAUUCGCUUCAGGAUGGACUCGCGUCCAAUUAGCUAGUUGGUGAGGUAACGGCCCACCAAGGCGACGAUUGGUAGCCGGACUGAGAGGUUGAACGGCCACAUUGGGACUGAGACACGGCCCAG
rnacentral:rRNA from 1 species